AAGUCGUAACAAGGUAACCGUAGGUGAACCUGCGGUUGGAUCAUUAACAAAUUAAAAAGGAGAGGGAAACCUCGACUUUCACAUUGCGAACUUUGCUAGUUAGGUGGGUUAAAACAGCUUUAGCAAUAGAGCUGGAGUUUGCCUUAUGGUGAGCUAACCUAUCUGUUAUAAACUUUUAACAAGUCUAUAAAACAAAUUUAACAAAAAACAACUUUUGACAACGGAUCUCUUGGCUCUC
rnacentral:misc_RNA from 1 species